GACGAAUGCUGGCUGCGUGCUUAACACAUGCAAGUCGAACGGUGAAGGAGGGCUUGCCCUCCGGAUCAGUGGCGAACGGGUGAGUAACACGUGGGCAACCUGCCCCUCACUCUGGGAUAACGCCGGGAAACCGGCGCUAAUACCGGAUACGACCAGGCGCGACAUCUCGCCUGGUGGAAAGAAUUUCGGUGAGGGGUGGGCCCGCGGCCUAUCAGCUAGUUGGUGGGGUAACGGCCCACCAAGGCGACGACGGGUAGCCGGCCUGAGAGGGCGACCGGCCACACUGGGACUGAGACACGGCCCAGACUCCUACGGGAGGCAGCAGGGGGGAAUAUUGCGCAAUGGGCGAAAGCCUGACGCAGCGACGCAGCGUGAGGGACGAAGGCCUUCGGGUUGUAAACCUCUUUCAGCGGGGACGAAGCGAAAGUGACGGUACCCGCAGAAGAAGCACCGGCUAACUACGUGCCAGCAGCCGCCGUAACAC
rnacentral:rRNA from 1 species